UACGGGGGGGGCAAGCGUUGUUCGGAAUUACUGGGCGUAAAGGGCGCGUAGGCGGCCAUCUAAGUCAGACGUGAAAUCCCUCGGCUCAACCGAGGAACUGCGUCUGAUACUGGAAGGCUUGAAUCCGGGAGAGGGAUGUGGAAUUCCAGGUGUAGCGGUGAAAUGCGUAGAGAUCCGGAGGAACACCAGUGGCGAAGGCGACACGCUGGGCCGUACCUGACACUGAACCGCGACAGCAUGGGGAGCAAACAGG
rnacentral:rRNA from 1 species